GUGCCAGCCGCCGCGGUAAUACCGGCAGCCCGAGUGAUGGCCGAUCUUAUUGGGCCUAAAGCGUCCGUAGCUGGCCGCGCAAGUCCGUCGGGAAAUCCACCUGCCCAACAGGUGGGCGUCCGGCGGAAACUGUGUGGCUUGGAACCGGAAGGCUCAGAGGGUACGUCCGGGGUAGGAGUGAAAUCCCGUAAUCCCGGACGGACCACCGAUGGCGAAAGCACUCUGUGAAGACGGCUUCGACAGUGAGGGGCGAAAGCCAGGGUCUCCAACCGGAUUAGAUACCCUGGUAGUCC
rnacentral:rRNA from 1 species